CAGUAGCCGCGGGAAAACAGAGGGUGCGAGCGUUAAUCGAAUUUACUGGGCGUAAAGCGUGCGUAGGCGGCUUUUUAAGUCGGAUGCGAAAUCCCUGAGCUUAACUUAGGAAUUGCAUUCGAUACUGGGAAGCUAGAGUAUGGGAGAGGAUGGUAGAAUUCCAGGUGUAGCGGUGAAAUGCGUAGAGAUCUGGAGGAAUACCGAUGGCGAAGGCAGCCAUCUGGCCUAAUACUGACGCUGAGGUACGAAAGCAUGGGGAGCAAACAGGAUUAGAUACCCCAGUAGUCCCUGUCUCUUAUAC
rnacentral:rRNA from 1 species